rnacentral:rRNA from 1 species
UGGUGAGGUAACGGCUCACCAAGGCGACGACGGGUAGCCGGCCUGAGAGGGCGACCGGCCACACUGGGACUGAGACACGGCCCAGACUCCUACGGGAGGCAGCAGUGGGGAAUAUUGCACAAUGGGCGAAAGCCUGAUGCAGCGACGCCGCGUGAGGGAUGACGGCCUUCGGGUUGUAAACCUCUUUCAGCAGGGAAGAAGCGAAAGUGACGGUACCUGCAGAAGAAGCGCCGGCUAACUACGUGCCAGCAGCCGCGGUAAUACGUAGGGCGCAAGCGUUGUCCGGAAUUAUUGGGCGUAAAGAGCUCGUAGGCGGCUUGUCACGUCGGUUGUGAAAGCCCGGGGCUUAACCCCGGGUCU